rnacentral:rRNA from 1 species
GAUCAUGGCUCGAGGACGAACGCUGGCGGCGUGCUUAACACAUGCAAGUCGAACGAUGAACCAGGGCUUGCCCUGGGAAUUAGUGGCGAACGGGUGAGUAACACGUGGGCAACCUGCCCCAGACACCGGGAUAACCAUCCGAAAGGAUGGCUAAUACCGGAUAUGACCACUUUGGGCAUCCAACGGUGGUGGAAAGGAUUCUGGUCUGGGAUGGGCCCGCGGCCUAUCAGCUAGGUGGUGGGGUAAUGGCCUACCAAGGCGACGACGGGUAGCCGGCCUGAGAGGGCGACCGGCCACACUGGGACUGAGACACGGCCCAGACUCCUACGGGAGGCAGCAGUGGGGAAUAUUGCGCAAUGGGCGAAAGCCUGACGCAGCGACGCCGCGUGAGGGACGAAGGUCUUCGGAUUGUAAACCUCUUUCAGCAGGGACGAAGCGAAAGUGACUGUACCUGCAGAAGAAGCACCGGCUAACUACGUG